rnacentral:misc_RNA from 1 species
UCUCCGUAGGUGAACCUGCGGAGGGAUCAUUACAGAGUUCUCGCCCUCGCGGGUAGAUCUCCCACCCACUGUUAUCGUUACUGUGUUACUUUGGCGGGCCGCCGGGCCCCGCUCGGCCGCCGGCUCCGGCUGGCGCGCGCCCGCCAGAGGCCCAGCAAACUCUGAAUGUUAGUGUCGUCUGAGUACUAUAUAAUAGUUAAAACUUUCAACAACGGAUCUCUUGGUUCUG